AGUGAACGCUGGCGGUAGGCCUAAUACAUGCAAGUCGAACGGCAGCACAGUAAGAGCUUGCUCUUACGGGUGGCGAGUGGCGGACGGGUGAGGAAUACAUCGGAAUCUACUUUUUCGUGGGGGAUAGCGUAGGGAAACUUACGCUAAUACCGCAUACGAUCUACGGGUGAAAGCAGGGGAUCUUCGGACUUUGCGCGAUUGAAUGAGCCGAUGUCGGAUUAGCUAGUUGGCGGGGUAAAGGCCCACCAAGGCGACGAUCCGUAGCUGGUCUGAGAGGAUGAUCAGCCACACUGGAACUGAGACACGGUCCAGACUCCUACGGGAGGCAGCAGUGGGGAAUAUUGGACAAUGGGCGCAAGCCUGAUCCAGCCAUACCGCGUGGGUGAAGAAGGCCUUCGGGUUGUAAAGCCCUGUUGUUGGGAAAGAAAAACAGCAGGUUAAUACCCCGCUGUUCUGACGGUACCCAAAGAAUAAGCACCGGCUAACUUCGUG
rnacentral:rRNA from 1 species